UAAUACGUAGGCGGCAAGCGUUAUCCGGAUCUACUGGGCGUAAAGAGGACGUAGGCGGUUUUUCAAGUCGAUUGUGAAAUCUCCCGGCUUAACUGGGAGGAGCCAGUCGACACUGUUAGACUAGAGGGCAGCAGGGGGAGGUAGAAUUCCCGGUGUAGUGGUGGAAUACAUAGAUAUCGGGAGGAAUACCAGUGGCGAAGGCGGCCUCCUAGGCUGUUUCUAACGCUGAGGUCCGAAAGCGUGGGGAGCAAACAGACUUAGAUACUCUGGUAGUCCACGCUGUAAACGAUGGACACUAGGUAUAGGGAGUAUCGACCCUCUCUGUGCCGAAGCUAACGCACUAAGUGUCCCGCCUGGGGACUACGGCCGCAAGGCUA
rnacentral:rRNA from 1 species